UGCGUAGGCGGCUACAAAGGUCAGAUGUGAAAUCCCACGGCUCAACCGUGGAACUGCGUUUGAAACCGUGUAGCUUGAGGGAGUCAGAGGUAAGCGGAACUGAUGGUGGAGCGGUGAAAUGCGUUGAUAUCAUCAGGAACACCGGUGGCGAAAGCGGCUUACUGGGACUUUUCUGACGCUGAGGCACGAAAGCUAGGGGAGCGAACG
rnacentral:rRNA from 1 species